CGGCAACAGCUCAAAUUUGAAAUCUGGCGCAAGCCCGAGCUGUAAUUUGGAGAGGAUGCUUCGGGGCAGCGGCCGGUUUAAGUUUCUUGGAACAGAACGUCGCAGAGGGUGAGAAUCCCGUAUGUGACCGGCAGGCACCCUUCACGUAGCUCCUUCGAC
rnacentral:rRNA from 1 species